rnacentral:snRNA from 1 species
CAGAACUGGCGAUGCGGG